AAGACACUGAACUUCAUGUCACAUUCCAGUAUUCUGGGUCAUUGCUAUGAAUUCGUUUUGCAUUCAGCGCGUUUACGGACUUUAGCAGAACUGUAUUGCAAAUCCCAUGGAGGGCAACUGUUGUCCAUUGUGUCUGAAUUUGAAGACGAAUAUAUUUACCAGACUCUUGUGAACAAUGGUUUCAGAAACAGGACGUUUUGGGCUGGGAUAAUUACAACCAGGGAUGGUUACUUAUGGCUUGAUGGAUCCAGCACUCAACAACUUAUGUUCAUGUACAUGAAUGUGACAUCGCCGGGAAGAUGCUUUAUUUUAAAAGUAAAUGAACAUGAAACUAUUUGCAAAGAACCGAUUGUAAUUCGGAUUAUGAAUUUAUCUGCAAGUACA